UGGCGGGCCUUAGGCGGGGGGCUAGGGGUCCUCUGAGAGGCUUAAUGCCUUGACCGUAAAUCCUCUACAUGAUGGGCUGACAUCUGAGGCUGAGACGUCAAAGAGCUUCGAGCUCCGCUUGUCCUUGCGGUGAAUAUCCGUCCCUUGGGGCUGGUGGUCAUGGUGCUGUCUCUGUAGGGAGGCAGUUUCCGUGUCUGCUAGGUGAAUCCGGCCAGGCCCGGGAGGGAGCAACCUAAGUCUAGACGCUUAGCGCUCAAGGGGGUGCGGAUACGAGACAAAGAUGAGUAGUGGGUUUGAAGGAAACUGGGCGCCGAACCUCAGUGGUCCGCUG
rnacentral:SRP_RNA from 1 species